GAUGGCUUCAUUCAAAUUUCUGCCCUAUCAACUUUCGAUGGUAGGAUAGUGGCCUACCAUGGUUUGCAACGGGUAACGGGGAAUUAGGGUUCUAUUCCGGAGAGGGAGCCUGAGAAACGGCUACCACAUCCAAGGAAGGCAGCAGGCGCGCAAAUUACCCAAUCCCGACACGGGGAGGUAGUGACAAUAAAUACUGAUACAGGGUUCUUUUGGAUCUUGUAAUUGGAAUGAGUACAAUUUAAAUCCCUUAACGAGGGAACAAUUGGAGGGCAAGUCUGGUGCCAGCAGCCGCGGUAAUUCCAGCUCCAAUAGCGUAUAUUAAAGUUGUUGCAGUUAAAAAGCUCGUAGUUGAACCUUGGGCCUGGCUGGCCGGUCCGCCUAACCGCGUGUACUGGUUCGGCCGGGUCUUUCCUUCUGGCUAACCUCAUGCCCUUUACUGGGUGUGCUGGGGAUCCAGGACUUUUACUUUGAAAAAAUUAGAGUGUUCAAAGCAGGCCUAAGCUCGAAUACAUUAGCAUGGAAUAAUAGAA
rnacentral:rRNA from 1 species